rnacentral:lncRNA from 1 species
AUUCACUUUCAUUUUAUUGGCUUCAUUUGUCCACAUAUUAGUGUCAGCAAUAGGUCUUGCACUGUCAUUCAUACACUUGUUCUCAUUAUGAUCCACCAAGUCACCAUGAUUUCCAGCCUGCAUCAGGUCACAACCCACACAGAAUUCAGAAUCAAGAUUUACAUAAUUCACCAAAAACAUUUUACAUCAACAUUGACAAAGAACCUUACAUUCUCUGCCAUUUUAUUGGCUCCAUUUGUCCAAAUAUUAGUUUCAGCAUUAGGGCUGGCACUGUCAUCCAUAAGAUCGUUCUCAAUAUGAUCCACCAAGUCACCAUGAGAUCCACUUGACCUAAUAUCAAUACAUAUGCUGUUCGUGUAGACAUUCACAGAUGUGUCAACUAGAUUAAUCGAAUCUCCUGCUAUCACCUUCUUUGAAUCCGUAUUAGCAACUAUAGAUUUUGUAGAUUCAUCUUCUACUGGUGACUUCAGUUUUCCAGAAAUG